CCAGACACGUUUCUUCACGGAGCCCAAGGAAAACACUUUACCGAACUCAUGUAAGUAACAAUUUAUAUUGUUAAAAGUCAGUAUUUGCCAGGAUUUAAAUGUAUACAUUUUCAAAAGCAUGGUUCAAUGUUAUAUUUAGUUUACUACUUUUCCCGCCGACCGCCAUUUCGAAUGUGCUCUUACCUCCAACAGCUCAUUAACUUCAACCAAACAUUGUUUAUAGCUGUGAAGUUUAUAAUUAGCGUUUUCUUUGCGUGGUAGUUUAAUAUUUUAUUCUUCAGUUUAUAAGCAGCCACAUUAAAGCUGCUUAACUAGCUUGCAUUCAUAGUUGCUAGCAGCUAGCUAGAUACACUUGACAGAGCUAUCUGAAGCCCCCUCAGACCUGCUGUCCAUGCACACUCCUAGGCAAAACGCUACUCUUGUAAGAAUAACACUCAUUGUGUAAGUCUCAAUCUCAACACCCCCCCCAAAAAAAAUCUCACUAGUAGUCACCAUUUAAAGGGUAAAUUUUCACAUUUUUCUUCCGUGGGGGCAUGCCCCCGGACCCUGCUACUGUUGCUAGGUUACCAACUUAGACCACCGUGGCUACAAAAAAAUCUAGACGAAAUUCUGCAAAUGAGUAUAUUAGGGUGUAAAAAAAACAGAUAUAAAGGGCUCUCAUCAAGCUUAUAUAUCCAAGAGGUUAGACAUGAACCAUAACUUGUCUUUUUUGUUCUCUCUCUCCAAUGACAGAUGGGAUGGCCCUGUAAGUUGUGCAGCACUGUUGUACCAACCAAGAGUGACAUUUUAAAGCAUUACAGACUGCAACAUGGGACCUUUGGACACAGCCAUUCCUUGCCUUGCAUUCAUAUUAAUGAAGCGUUCCGAAGGUGCACUGCUGUUCCACUGGAAUCAACAUUUAUGUCCCAACUGGACAGGUACACGCCAAAACUCCUGGAGCUCUUCAGUGCAAAAGGAGGAGUGACUGCAGCGCAUCAAGAACUUGUUGAUGGAACUGACACAGACCUCGAUGAAGAACACAAACCAAGGACCCAGAUUUCCCUCGCCCGGACGCGGGUCACCGGGGCCCCCCUCUGGAGCCAGGCCCGGAGGUGGGGCACGAUGGCGAGCGCCUGGUGGCCGGGCCUGUCCCCAUGGGGCCCGGCCGGGCACAGCCCGAAGAGGCAA